UGACUGAAUCGGGCGAAAAUACAAUAUUAAUGAAAACACGAUUUACGCUUGCGUGAAAUUUGAAAGAGCUGUUUUAUGACUUUUUCUGUGAGAACUGAACAUCCUGAAUUACUUUCCCCAUUAUAUCGAUCGCGUAAUAGUCUUAUACCCCAGCCAAUUGUCACACAAUUAUUUUGAUAGUGCGAUAAUAUCGGGCACUAUUUGUCUUAUACUUAUGCAACAUUGAGCAAUUGAGAAAUAUUACGCUUACAUAAAGGAAAUUUCAAAACAUUUUCAUCUUCACGAAAAGGUGCAAACAUUCCAUCGAGUAAUACGCUACCACACGCUCCUCGACAUUUGCAGAAUGGCGAUCUGUGUUGUGCAGCAGUAUUUUAGUAUCAAUAAAAUACUUUUUCGUGCAGUUGCCUUAUGGCCUUAUCAUCGAACGAAACUCGUUGAAUUUCACCUGACCUUCUUUCUUGUUAUUUUGAUUAGCUUUAUCGCUGCCCAGUUGGCAACAUUUCUGACUACAGAAUGCACACCUCAUAUGGCAAUUAAAAUUUUCUCUCUUGUAUUGUACUUUACUCUGUAUUUGAUAAACUACCUUUCCUUUCGUGUUAAUGCCCAUACUAUAGGAUGCCUAUUGGAGAAAUUUCAAUAUAUAUGUGACGAGCUAACAGAUGAAGGCGAAAUCGCUAUCAUAAAAGAAUAUGGAAAUGAGGCGAAACGUUUUACCGUUAUAAUUUCCUUGUACGGCAUGUUCAACAUACUCACUACGUGUCUUCUACCAGUUUUUCCGCGCAUUCUUCGUACUUUUACGUCCACAAAUGUGUCUGAAAAACAUUUUAUGAUACAUAUUCCGAGAGAAUACUUUAUCGAUCAAGAGAAAUAUUACUAUUGUAUUUUGCUGCACAUGGACGUUAGCCUCUUUAUGGGAGCAAUAGUAUUAGUAGCAACAGGAACAUUGCUGUUUGGCUGCAUGAAAUAUAUGUGUGGAUUAUUUAGAAUCGCCAGUUAUCGUAUUGAUCAAACAAUGAAGACUCCGAUGUUUCAAAUUGCUGGGUUGUCGAAGGAUUAUGUAAUUUAUAAAACGAUUGUGCAUGCCAUAGACAUUCAUCGCAAGGCAAUAGAAGUUUGUGAUAUAAUAAAAUCCAAUUUUGUGGGAAUGUCUUUUAUACUAAUGUUAAUUAGUGUUACUUCCUUAAGUCUCAAUCUUUAUGGACUUCACCAGGCUGUAAUGUUUGGAAACGCCACGGAGGAAUAUUUAGUGUAUGCUAAAGGUCUAUUUGUCACUCUACUAUAUAUAUUCAUAUGCAAUUACAUCGGACAAGAACUUACAGACCAUUAUAACCAUAUGUUUAUCAGCAUAUACAGUGUUCAGUGGUACGUAACUCCCUUACACAUACAGAAAAUAAUUUUGUUCCUGUUGCAAAGAGGCACUAAAAAUUUUUAUUUCGUUUUUGGUGGAAUAUUAGUGAUGUCUAUAGAAAAUGCGACCACGGUAAAAUUAUUUCAUGUUAUGUCAUGUUAUAAAAAUAUAUCAAAUUAUAAUCUUCCAACCAGCAUGCACUUUGAGUUAAAAAAUGAAAAAUAUGUUUCAGUUAGUAAGCGCUUCCAUAUCGUAUUUCACCGUUCUCCAUUCUAUGCAGCAACCUGAUAUAAUUACAUAACUAAAAUGAGUUUAUGGCGUUUCGAUUAGAUCGAAUUAAAAUUAGAUUCUACAUACUAGAGAAUUCUGAAGUAACAUUCUUACCGUCGAACGGAGAAGAAAUUUUUAAUCAUCGGAGCAACUCAUCAUGAUAUUUUCCUGCGUAAUUCAAAGUAUAAAUUCGCAACAAUGGGUGCAUCGUACGAUUUUAUUAGUGUUUCUUUAAUCGAAACUUUAAAGUAAUCCAUAUAUGUACACAAGAUUAUAAUAUAUAAUUUGUGCGUUUAUAAUAUCUCAUUACAUAUUAUAAAUAAGUGCGGGACAUGAGUAGUAACAAAAUUUAAACCAAACUCACAAUAUAUUAGUUACCUUUGACAUAUUAUUCACACUUCGCGAUAUGUAUAUAACCAGUGCUGAAUGUGUCUACCUCAUUUGAAUAUUAAAUAUAUAUCACAUAUAUAUAAAAAGUCAAAUAAAGUUAUCCUUUAGUGAUUUAGUAAUUCUUCGCUAAUUUAGCUCUUUGUCAAUGUUUUCAAUAAAAACAUCAAAAUCGGAUUAAUAAUACGUUAGAAGAUAAUUUACAUUCUCAUUGGAUUUAUAGAUAACAUCAUCCUAAGAUAUUAUACAAUUGAGAAUAUGUGUACUCCAACAUCCAUUCAACAAUGUUUGCAGUUCCGGUACAAGAUUGAAAUGUUAAACCGAAUAUGGAACUUUGCAAAAAUAUAAACGUAUUCCGAACUUGGAAUGAAAUGGAUACUAUCAAUGUACUCAAGAUAAAUGAUAUGUGGUUGCAUGAACUUCGUUCAAGACAUCAUGCUACGAUUCUUCGCCAGUUGAAAAUAAAAAAGCAAUAAAUUUCAUUCCUUACCUUGAUAGAAAUCUGUGCAGUUUUUCUAGACACCCAAGCAGUUACUGUCUAGUAUUACUGUAGUCUCAUAAAUUGUAUCAUUACUGUGUAGGAAAUGGACAAAACUAGAUAGAGUUUUACUAAGCCCAUUUUAUGAGCAGUAAACUUGCUUAGUAAUAGGUUAAAUAGUUUAAUAGAUUUAAUAGUUUGAAGAAGCUAAGAAGAAUUUAAAAAAAUGUAUAACGUUAAAUAUAUUUUUACGUAGUAGAUAAUGCAACAUGUAAUAGCUGAAUAUACAUAUAAAAUGAAUAUGUUUAACGCGAGUCAAGUUUAUUAAAUAUUAAUUUAGUUGCAAUACACGAAAUUCUGAAUAAUAUAACUUACGUAGAAAAGACAUCUUCGUAUUGCAAUAAAAGAACAAAAUGUCCAUGUAUCCAUACAUCUUUGGAGAGUACAACCGUAUCACACAAAAGCCUACACUCGAAUGAAAUUUGCGAAAAUACAAUAUUAAAGAAAACGCGAUCUGCGCUACCGUGAAAUUUGAUAGAGAUAUCAUUUUGUGACUCUUUUUCUGUGGGAACUGAACAUACGCUGAACGUACGCUUCCCCUAUCGAUCGCAUAAUAGGCGACUUCUACCGCAGCCAAUUGUCACUAAAGUAUUGCGAUAGUGCGAUAAUAUAGUGCACCAUUUGUCUUAUACUUAUGUAAAAUUGAGCAAUCAGAAAUAUUACAUUUACAUAAAAAAAAUUUCAGAAUAUCUUUAUCUCAAAAAAAAUGCAAGCUCUCGUCUGAUAUUUUUCCAGCAAAUGUUCCUUGAUAUUCGCAGUAUGACGAUCUGCGUUGUGGAUCAGCAUUUUAGUCUUAAUAAAAUACUUUUGCGUGCACUUGCCUUAUGGCCUUAUCAUCGCACGAAACUCGUUGAAUUACACCUGGUCUUGUUGUUUUUUAUUUUCAUUAGCUUCAUCUUAGUUCAAGUAUGUUUAACCAUAUGAGUAUAAGUUUAAUCAUAUUAAUACGUUACUAUACAGAUUUUUCUUUAUAGCCACUCUAAUAAUACUUCUGCACUUUAUUAAUAACAUUGUUUAUAUCGCCUUUAAUUACUAAAUGUGUAGGAAGAACACAUUUAUUACGUUAUGGUUACAUAUUUUUACAAAGCGUCCAUUUAAUAAUUGAUUAUUUUAUCUUACUAUAUUGCUAAUCAUACACAAAAGCAGCAUGUAACUUUUAUUUUUAUAAAUCUUUAAUUGUAGUUGACAACAUUUCUAACUACAGAAUGCACCCCUAAUAUGAGAAUUAGAAUUUUCUCCUUUGUAUUGUAUUUUACUAUAUAUCUAAUAAAGUACAGUUGCUUCUGCAUUAAUAGUGAUACUGUAAGUUAAGUUUUAUUUUACUUAUUGUAAUAAAUAUUAUUGACAAAUGA
rnacentral:misc_RNA from 1 species